GGGGGGCCCCCCGGCAAUAAGUACUGCUAAUCCUUAAACCCCACGGUUAAACUCCGUGGCUUCCUCG
rnacentral:tRNA from 1 species